AGGAGGUUGGCUUAGAAGCAGCCAUCCUUUAAAGAAAGCGUAAUAGCUCACUGGUCGAGUCGUCCUGCGCGGAAGAUGUAACGGGGCUAAGCCAGUCACCGAAGCUGCGGAUAUGUCUUAUGACAUAUGGUAGGAGAGCGUUCUGUAAGCCUGCGAAGGUGUCUUGUAAAGGAUGCUGGAGGUAUCAGAAGUGCGAAUGCUGACAUGAGUAGCGAUAAAGAGUGUGAGAAACACUCUCGCCGAAAUCCCAAGGGUUCCUGCGUAAAGCUAAUCUGCGCAGGGUAAGCCGGCCCCUAAGCCGAGG
rnacentral:rRNA from 1 species